rnacentral:lncRNA from 1 species
UCCAUGCCUGUUAAAUAAUACAAAUUAGAGACAUAUAUAAGCAUAAAAUAAAUUUCUUUACAAAAAAAAAAAAAAUUUACCUAACAGAAAGAAGCCUAUUGUUAACUUCAUUGUCAGUGUCAAAAAUGUACAGCUGAGCAAACUUUGGAGCCAUUCCAUCGGACGGUAUCAAACUACCUAUCAAAUGAUAGUUCUGACCAUUGAGACGAAAAACAGGAGCACCUUUACCCAAAUUCAAACUGUGAUCGAUCCUACCACCCAUCG